rnacentral:rRNA from 1 species
UCGAGAAUCUUCCGCAAUGGGCGAAAGCCUGACGGAGCGACGCCGCGUGCGGGAUGAAGGCCUUCGGGUUGUAAACCGCUGUCGAAGGGGAGCAAAUUUGAGCGAUCCUUGGAGGAAGCACAGGCUAAAUUCGUGCCAGCAGCCGCGGUAAUACGAAUUGUGCGAACGUUAUUCGGAAUCGACUGGGCUUAAAGGGUGCGUAGGCGGUCAUGUAGGUCUGAUGUGAAAUCCCACGGCUCAACCGUGGAACUGCGUUGGAAACCCCAUGGCUGGAGUAGGACAGAGGUGAGCGGAACAGAUGGUGGAGCGGUGAAAUGCGUUGAUAUCAUCUGGAACACCGGUGGCGAAAGCGGCUCACUGGGUCCUAACUGACGCUGAGGUGCGAAAGCUAGGGGAGCAAACGGGAUUAGAUACCCCAGU